rnacentral:rRNA from 1 species
AUUUCCCCGAUUGGGUGAAACCCUAGCCACCACUCCCCGUCGGGCUUCUCUCCUCCACUCCCCAUCGCGCCCCUCUCCUCCAAUCCCCGCAGCCGAAGACGAGAUCUCGCCCUUCGCCGAGCUUGCCACCAUCGCUGCUCUCCCCUCGCCAUCGCCGGGAGGAGUGUGCAGGCCGCCGCUCGCGUCGUUUCUCCGCAGCCACCACCGCCCCCUUCCCUUCCAAGCCCACGGAGAUGACGGCGCCGGCGCUGGCGCUCGCGGUGGUCGGGUACUGGGCUGCCCGACAGCCGCGGGGCCAGGACGCUCUACUUCGCCAGGGACCUCAAGCUGUUGACGGCGGGGACUGAGUCGCCGCCGCAUCAUCUUCUCCUCCUCCCCAACACCUCAUGAUUGCGGGUCGCCGUCGCACCAGAUGAGGUGGGGCUGCAACCACGCCCCCUUCACCUCUUCUACCCAGCCGUGCCACUCGGGACGACAAGAUCCAGCCGCGGCGGCCGAGAUCUAGUUGGCUGCCAUCAAUAUGAGGAGCGCUCGUGCCGCUGCUCCGCCGUUCGUCGUCCACUUGGCCGCAACUAUCCACAAGAAGAGGUGAUGUCACGGCAGCAGGGUCCUCACCUGUCUCCGCUCCCUCGUCUCCCCCUUCUGCUGGCAAGGGUGCUGAGCAGCAACAGUUCCAUCUCCCUCCCCAACGCAUCCUUGCCUCAUCUUGAUCUGCAAUGAACCAGAGCCCAGAGAAAGAGAUUUGAUAUGAUGAUUGAGGUAGGAGGCAUGGAUUGUUUGGGGCUCCUCUGAAAUAAGCUUCUUAAUUAGGAGAUGAAUACAGUCGGAGCCUGGGAUUUUUAUACACAGAGAUGGGGCAUAAAUAAGCAAAACAAAAAAUGCGCCAAUGCUUUGCCAGAAUUUCGUUGGUCCUCUCAAGAUUGUGGCGAAACCAAGAUUGAAUUUAGAGAUGUUUCAUAUGCUUGGCCGUUGACACACCUCUCUUCAAGGCAAGGUCAUUUCCAAGGUGAUUACAGCGCUAGGACCUACCCCUGAUAAGAACCAGGGCACCCGUUUAAACAGAAUGAUGACUGUGUGAGGCUUAAAAUAUCGCCAUCAUAUCAGGGGUGAUGCUGUCACUUCCAUGGUCCACCAGAAUGAAGAUCACACUCAGUGCUGCAAGGGGGCUUGCCUUCCUGCACGAAGCUGAGAAGCCAGUUGUCUACAUGGAUUCAAGACAUCCAACUUGCUCGAUGAGAUACCCAAACCGCGUUUAAUCGCUUCGAUGUUUACUUCCAUUCGUAUAGAUUCCGGACUCCUUAUACACAAAAAACAUUAGAGUGGUUCACAUAAAUGGUUCAGUAAACAGAAUGAGCACCUGUAAUUUUUCAUGAGGCUGAUUUUAAGUUCUCAAUUUAUUUGCCAUGGAUUGUUUGGGGCUUCUCUGAAAUAAGCUUACCUAUGCAGGAAAACAACAGGAAUGAGAUUAAUAGAUUUAAUGAAGAGAUAUGCCAGGAUUAGGCGGAGAUGAUGAAAGGCUUUGUAAAAGUCAGUGUCCCGGGCAAAAGGACCAAGAUUUGGCGGGUGGGCGUCGGGAGUCCAGUUGGUUGGCUUCAGCCUUUGAGGUGCUGCCGGCUAGCGGUGCCGCUUCUGAGUGUGUCCUCGUCUCACUCCCUUGGCACCUUCGGCCGAUGAUCCUUCUGCUUUCCUUUUUACUAAAUAGACAAGUUGGAUCCAGUGUGUCUCCAUGUGUCCAUGUGUGUUUUGGGUGAAUACGCAAUGAAACGCGGGAAAGUGGCCUCUAUUUGACAUUGUCGUGCUGAACGAUUCAUUCACAUGUCUGUAACUUUGUAUCUUGGUUCUGUUUCUAUUGUUAGUUCCAAAAGAUAUAUCCACUUCUUGGCGACUUUUAACUCUGUAACAUGUCUAUUCUUAGUGUAGAUAUACUUUUUAUUCUAGCUGCAUUGCUGUGAGCAGGCAGAUUUCUUAUGGGGAAUGGCGAUGAUUGCUUGAGCUUUCAUUUUGAUCCCCUUUGUAUCCCAAACAUAGUUUUCGCACAGUCGCUGUAUGUACUGGUUCCGGAUACUCCAUGUAGCGGUUUUUGUUUGUUUUUAUUCAUAUAAGUACUAGAUUCUCGUACAAAACAGAGAUGAACUGCACUAUAUGUUUACUGAUAUGUUGGGCCCAAAUAAAAUGUCUUCGUGCUU